CAUAGUGUGGCAUUUAGGUGAUACGCAAUCCCUAGGUUACCAUGUCAGAUGGUAAACUAUGGAUUGCGCUUCUCCUAACUUGCCUAACUGCAAUGCU
rnacentral:pre_miRNA from 1 species